rnacentral:rRNA from 1 species
UACGAAGGGGGCUAGCGUUGCUCGGAAUCACUGGGCGUAAAGCGCACGUAGGCGGCUUCUUAAGUCAGAGGUGAAAUCCUGGAGCUCAACUCCAGAACUGCCUUUGAUACUGGGGAGCUCGAGUCCGGGAGAGGUGAGUGGAACUGCGAGUGUAGAGGUGAAAUUCGUAGAUAUUCGGAAGAACACCAGUGGCGAAGGCGACUUACUGGACGAUUGUUGACGCUGAGGUGCGAAAGCGUGGGGAGCAAACAGG